rnacentral:rRNA from 1 species
GAUGAACGCUAGCGACAGGCCUAACACAUGCAUUUCGAGGGGCAGCACAUGAGUAGCAAUACGAUGGUGGCGACCGGCGCACGGGUGAGUAACACGUAUGCAACCUACCGGUAAAAGGGGGAUAGCCUCUCGAAAGAGAGAUUAAUACCGCAUAAUAUCUUUGGAUGGCAUCAUUUGAAGAUUAAACAUUUAUGGAUUACCGAUGGGCAUGCGUAUGAUUAGCUAGUUGGUGAGGUAACGGCUCACCAAGGCAACGAUCAUUAGGGGUUCUGAGAGGAAGGUCCCCCACACUGGUACUGAGACACGGACCAGACUCCUACGGGAGGCAGCAGUGAGGAAUAUUGGUCAAUGGGCGCGAGCCUGAACCAGCCAAUUCUCGUGAAGGAUGAAGGUGCUAUGCAUUGUAAACUUCUUUUGUAAGGGAAUAAAAAGUAGUACCGUGUACUAUAUUGUAUGUACUUUACGAAUAAGGAUCGGCUAACUCCGUGCCAGCAGCCGCGGUAAUACGGAGGAUCCAAGCGUUAUCCGGAUUUAUUGGGUUUAAAGGGUGCGUAGGCGGGAGAUUAAGUCAGUGGUGAAAGUUUGCAGCUCAACUGUAAAAUUGCCAUUGAAACUGAUUUUCUUGAGUGCAAAUGAGGUAGGCGGAAUGUGUUGUGUAGCGGUGAAAUGCUUAGAUAUAACACAGAACCCCGAUUGCGAAGGCAGCUUACUGGGAUGCAACUGACGCUGAGGCACGAAAGCGUGGGGAUCAAACAGGAUUAGAUACCCUGGUAGUCCACGCAGUAAACGACGAAUACUAACUGUAUGCGAUAUACUGUAUGCGGUACAGCGAAAGCGUUAAGUAUUCCACCUGGGGAGUACGUUCGCAAGAAUGAAACUCAAAGGAAUUGACGGGGGCCCGCACAAGCGGAGGAACAUGUGGUUUAAUUCGAUGAUACGCGAGGAACCUUACCCGGGCUUGAAAUGCAUCUGACCGACCAGGAAACUGGUUUUCUAGCAAUAGCAGAUGUGUAGGUGCUGCAUGGUUGUCGUCAGCUCGUGCCGUGAGGUGUCGGCUUAAGUGCCAUAACGAGCGCAACCCCUAUCAUUAGUUACUAACAGGUUAAGCUGAGGACUCUAGUGAGACUGCCACCGUAAGGUGUGAGGAAGGUGGGGAUGACGUCAAAUCAGCACGGCCCUUACGUCCGGGGCGACACACGUGUUACAAUGGGGGGUACAGAGGGUCGCUACCACGCGAGUGGAUGCUAAUCUCAUAAAGCCUCUCUCAGUUCGGAUCGGAGUCUGCAACUCGACUCCGUGAAGCUGGAUUCGCUAGUAAUCGCGCAUCAGCCAUGGCGCGGUGAAUACGUUCCCGGGCCU